UACGUAGGGUGCAAGCGUUAAUCGGAAUCACUGGGCGUAAAGCGUGCGCAGGCGGUUAUGCAAGACAGAUGUGAAAUCCCCGGGCUCAACCUGGGAACUGCAUUUGUGACUGUAUAGCUAGAGUACGGUAGAGGGGGAUGGAAUUCCGCGUGUAGCAGUGAAAUGCGUAGAUAUGCGGAGGAACACCGAUGGCGAAGGCAAUCCCCUGGACCUGUACUGACGCUCAUGCACGAAAGCGUGGGGAGCAAACAGG
rnacentral:rRNA from 1 species